UACGGAGGAUGCGAGCGUUAUCCGGAUUUAUUGGGUUUAAAGGGUGCGUAGGCGGGAUGCCAAGUCAGCGGUAAAAAUGCGGUGCUCAACGCCGUCGAGCCGUUGAAACUGUCAGACUUGAGUUGGCGAGAAGUACGCGGAAUGCGUGGUGUAGCGGUGAAAUGCAUAGAUAUCACGCAGAACCCCGAUUGCGAAGGCAGCAUACCGGCGCCCUACUGACGCUGAGGCACGAAAGUGCGGGUAUCGAACAGG
rnacentral:rRNA from 1 species